GAUAAGCUGAACCACUGUUUAAUCACAACUGAACGAGAGACUACAAGCAAGAACCACCAACGAAUCCCAGACAACCCACAGAAAUGGAUUGACUUCCGAGCUCACGUAAUGAAUAGUUACAGUGGCUCUAAUGACAGCACUUCCUGGACUCGAUGAAUGCCCAGCAGGAAGCUCUUGAACAUGGCAAGGGGCAAAUACCAGAUGGCCAAAGUCAAAGAGGUGCUUGCACCAAUGUCACCACAAAUUGCCCAUUAUUUAGACAAAAACCAUCAUCGACAUCCUACAGUGCCAAAGAGGACACUAACAACUGGAUUCGUGACUCUAAGGCUUUCAACAUGGACAACGUCAAGUGGCUGAGUUGGAAAUUGUGCUGCAUAUGCAAUUAGAACCCCUGUGGAGGCCACGGAAUCCAAUUACAGUUGCAAAGUCAUAUAACAAUAUGAGGGCCUAUCCUGAUGAAAACAAGAUUUCACUAAGUUCACUGAAGAUGGAGGUGGAAUAAUGCUGAGGUGUGAACUUCUCAAUUAUGCAUCCAGUUCCAAGGAAAGAGGGGCCUCUGUGAGAUACUUGUGAAUUUUCUCGCUCUGGAAAUAUUGAAUGUGAAUCCUCUCAGAUUCCUGGAGGAUACAGUUCUAAACGUGAAUAAAUAAGAAGG